rnacentral:tRNA from 1 species
GAGGGUGUAGUUCAGUGGUAGAGUGCAUGCUUAGCAUGCAUGAAGUCCUGGGUUCAAUCCCCAGGACCUCCA